UACGUAGGGUGCAAGCGUUGUCCGGAAUUAUUGAGCGUAAAGAGCGUGUAGGCGGUUGCCCAAGUCCGAUGUGAAAGCCCGAGGCUCAGCCUCGGAAGUGCAUCGGAAACUAGGCAGCUGGAGCGCGAUAGAGGAGGGUAGAAUUCCUGGUGUAGCGGUGAAAUGCGUAGAUAUCAGGAGGAAUACCGGCGGCGAAGGCGGCCCUCUGGAUCGUUGCUGACGCUGAGACGCGAAAGCGUGGGGAGCAAACAGG
rnacentral:rRNA from 1 species